UGGCGAACGGGUGAGUAACACGUGAGCAACCUGCCCCUGACUCUGGGAUAAGCGCUGGAAACGGCGUCUAAUACUGGAUAUGUGACGUGACCGCAUGGUCUGCGUUUGGAAAGAUUUUUCGGUUGGGGAUGGGCUCGCGGCCUAUCAGCUUGUUGGUGAGGUAAUGGCUCACCAAGGCGUCGACGGGUAGCCGGCCUGAGAGGGUGACCGGCCACACUGGGACUGAGACACGGCCCAGACUCCUACGGGAGGCAGCAGUGGGGAAUAUUGCACAAUGGGCGCAAGCCUGAUGCAGCAACGCCGCGUGAGGGAUGACGGCCUUCGGGUUGUAAACCUCUUUUAGCAGGGAAGAAGCGAAAGUGACGGUACCUGCAGAAAAAGCGCCGGCUAACUACGUGCCAGCAGCCGCGGUAAUACGUAGGGCGCAAGCGUUAUCCGGAAUUAUUGGGCGUAAAGAGCUCGUAGGCGGUUUGUCGCGUCUGCUGUGAAAUCCCGAGGCUCAACCUCGGGCCUGCAGUGGGUACGGGCAGACUAGAGUGCGGUAGGGGAGA
rnacentral:rRNA from 1 species